CGUGAGUCGCUGUGGACCACGACGAACGCUCGCGGCUGGCAGCUGGCAGGAGAACGGAAGACGCCGAGCGACCGGCGACGCGAUCGGUCGCCCUCGCGUCUCCGAAGGAGCGUAGGCGGGCGUCGUCAUGCCUGGACUCGGAGUUUCCUUCUCCGGCGGUUCCCCCGGGGAACGCGCUUCCGUUUAUGCGUACGAUGAACCCCGCAUUGUUCACUUAACGCGCGUGAUUGGACGUCGAUGCACAAACGUCACGUUGCACGGCUCGCGGCCGGUGGGUUGUUACGUCCGACGACUCGACUACGCGUGUCUCUAAUAAAAACGAUUUGAAACGAUUUUUUUUCUCUUCAAACAAACAAGAUCACCGAGUAUAUUUUCGAUUCGACUUUAAUCGAGCGACGCGAAUGCAAAUUCAAAGAGACGAUGGAAAGAGAGAGUUAGGAGAGACAAAAUUAAAUGGAAAGCUGACGGAAUGGAAGUAGCCACUAGAGGCGUUGCGAUCGAUGUUCGCAGGGGGACGAGGGACGUCAGAGGCGGGGGGAAUAUCUGUCUGUCUUUAUUCCACUCGCAGUCUUCACGAAACAAUAUGAUAAAUUAAUAACGCUUUAAAUAAUUUAAGACUAUAAAUGAAUUAGU